rnacentral:rRNA from 1 species
UACGUAGGGUCCGAGCGUUGUCCGGAGUUACUGGGCGUAAAGGGCGGGUAGGCGGCCACCGCAAGUCAGUUGUGAAAUCUCUGGGCUUAACCCAGAAAGGUCAACUGAUACUGCGGGGCUAGAGUGCAGAAGGGGCAACUGGAAUUCUCGGUGUAGCGGUGAAAUGCGUAGAUAUCGAGAGGAACACCUGCGGCGAAGGCGGGUUGCUGGGCUGACACUGACGCUGAACUGCGAAAGCUAGGGGAGCGAACGGG